GCCGGGUGUGGUGGCGCAUGCCUGUAGUCCCAGCUACUUGGGAGGCUGAGGCAGGAGAAUCGCUUGAACCCAGGAGGUGGAGGUUGCAGUGAGCCAAGAUCGUGCCACUGCACUCCAACCUGAGCAACAGAGCGAGACUCUGACUCAA
rnacentral:SRP_RNA from 1 species